UUACAAACAACCGUGUGCAGCCUCCCAGUUCAAGAAAUUAUAACCCAAUAGAUCUUGUCUUCACCAGCCAUGACUGACUCAGGAUUCUCUCUCUUUGGUUCAGCACCAUCAUCGUCUUCUUACUCCAUUCAAUUCAGGUUCAUUUACAGCAACAAAUGGCGGAAAAGCGUAUAGCUGAAAAACUCGACGACAUCGUUUAGCUAGAACAAGAGGCUUCUCAUCCACUGACCAAUCCAAUACUAAUUCCUGUGAGACUAAUGCAGAAUCAAGCCACUGUGAGCUCUGUUUUUCUCUACUUGUGUAUGUGUCUUGUUUUAUGAUGGAUACUAUAUUAAGUAAAGCAUUGUUAUAUGGGAUCUGCAAACAGGUAAAAUUAAAGUAGAGGCUGCAGGGAAAGAAAAUAACAAUAAUGGUGAAGUAUCUGCUUUGGUUCCAUUUCAUAUCAAACAGAAGGAAGAAGCAAGAGAAACAAAUCAAGAACCUGCAACAACUUCAUCAUUAGUGGUGAUUUCUAGAGUAUCCCUCAAAAUCCUCACUUCUGUCAGCUUAGAAAUCACUGAACUUGUAAGAAAGAGCAUGAUAUAUUCAUUGGACUAGAUUUACAAAGAAACUACAGAACAAAUUAACUCUCUACAAGCAAAUGGUUUUUGGGUCAGAGUAAGGGAGUGGUGGAACACCAUGGAGGAGUUGCAGACCAUGGGGUAUAAUGUGAUUCCUUUGAGGAGAAGAUUAAUUAGUGGAGUUAAGACAUGUAAUGACAGCGCUAAAGUAGUCUAAAUCAUAUAUAAAAGGGUAAAAGAUCAAGGCUUAGAAUCACAAAGCAAAGAAAAGCAGGCUUGAAUUUGUGAUUUUGAGCUCGCAGAAAAUGAUUAAGAAAGGGGAAGAAGGCAUGGAGAGAGUAUAAGCUCAGGUAACAGAUAUGGAGAAAGAGUUGACAAAAUUUGAUGAAGAAGUUGCCAAGUCAGCCUUGGAGCCACUCUAGAUUGAUAUCUGCAGUUUAUGAGUUGACUUGAGAGAUUUAAUUCAAUGUCAAAUGUUUUUGUAAGAUUUUAUCAACUUUAAUCAAACAUUAGUCUGAGAUUUACCAUUCUA